rnacentral:rRNA from 1 species
AUGGGCCUACUGGCUCUCUUCGGCGAUGCCACGGGUCUGAAAAUCAAACCGGACAAAACCUGUGUCAUCCCAAUCCGAUGCAAAGACAUAGACCUUCAGAUUGUGCUGCAAAACUUCACGGGCAAGAUCGUAGGUUUCUCACUGACGUAUCUAGGUCUCCCGAUCACCAUCUCCAGGCUGCGCAUCGUGCACCUUCAGUUCAUCCUAGAUAGGAUCCGCACACGCCUUGCAGGAUGGAAAGGCCGUUUGUUAUCCAUCGCCGGCCGGAGGGUUUUGGUCAGGAGUGUUCUGACGGCGUUGCCAACAUACGCGCUGUCCGUUCUCAGGGCGCCUGUCAAGCUUCUCAAGGACAUUGACAAGGUGCGUAGACGCUUCCUUUGGGCGGGAGAGGAGGAGCUGACCGGCGGAAAAUGCAAAGUUAGCUGGCAGCAAGUGUGCUCGCCGGUACAGCAUGGAGGCUUGGGCAUCCUGAACAUGACCAAAUUCAGCCGUGCUCUCUGGCUAAGAUGGUUAUGGCUGUCUUGGCAGCAGCCCUGCCGGCCAUGGGUUGGCACACCGGUGCCAUGCGACGAGAAGGACCACAAGCUCUUCAACCAGGCAAUAAGAGUCACCAUCGGAGACGGAGCCACGGCAUCUUUCUGGCAAAACUCUUGGCUGGAUAUUGGACCCCUCAAACAAGCGUUCCCAGCCCUGUAUGCUCACUCCCGGCGAAAGAACAGAUCG